AUGGGCGACGAGGGGGAGCCGUCGCGUGAGCGUGAUCUGGGGAAGAAGCCGAUGGCCAUGGACGAAGGGGCGUCGCCGUGGCGUGGUCAGGCGAAGGAGGGAAACAAUCUGGAGGCGGCGCCGGUGCGGUGCUGCUCCUGCUCGCCGUGGGUGAUCGGCGACGAGAAGAAGCACCUGCCUCUGCUGUUCGUGUGCCCGCCGCGCCCGCGCGCCACCGUGCUCACCGCGCCCCGGCGCCUUCACCCCGACUCCGGCAAGUCAAGCUGCGUCCCCUACGUCAUCGUCGACGACGCCCUCCCCUCCGGCCGCUUCCUCCUCCGCGCCACCGACGGGUGGUACGGCCUCAACGGCGCCUACUACAUCUGCUGCGACUGCGACGCGCGCACCCGUGUCGCCACCCCGCCGCCUCCCUCCGGCUCCCUCGACCACCUCAACUUCCCGCGGCGGCGAAGCGUGGAGGACUCUCGCCACCGCGGCUACUGCCUGGUCGCGCAGGCGCAGCUCCACCCAACGUCGACGACCACCACCCAGCAGCACGAGACCGUCGUCGACUACCCAGCGCGGGACAACAAGUGGGACGUCAAGGAGUGCCCGCACCACCAGCGCGCGAUGGGGGGUUGCCACGGCGGCGUGCUCUGUUGCGCGGAUCUCCCCUACGGCUUCCUCACCAGCUGCGUCCCCUUCGCCGACGAGCUCCGCCGCCUGCGCUACGUCGAGCUUCCCCAAGGCUGCGUCAUGGUCGGCGACGACGAGAAGCACCACCGCUGGCUCUUCGCCACGGUGCGCGUGAAGAUCCAUGGCAUCCCGGACGCGCCGGUGGUGAGCUCGUGGACUCUAUGGGACAAGAUAAAGCAAUGUGUUCUAAAAGCUGUUGGGUGGCCUCUGCCUGUGGAGCACUCUUGGCUCAAUGUUCUUGGCCCUCCUAUCAAGCAAAUUGGCAACACAUGCUCUGUUUCUGCCGUUGCUCUCUGCAUCGAAGCUAAGUUCCACAAGUAUGGGUUCAGAUGUACCAUCGAAAGGCCACCACACAAACUUCUGCAGGACUGUCUUGAUAGUUCCUUUUUAGAACCUGAUGAAGGUAUCCCAGCAAUCAGA
rnacentral:lncRNA from 1 species